GAGGGUAUAGCUCAGUGGUAGAGUGAGUGCCUAGCAUGCACAAGGUCCUGGGUUCAAUCCCCAGCACCAUCA
rfam:Camelus ferus unplaced genomic scaffold scaffold79, whole genome shotgun sequence.